GACGAACGCUGGCGGCGCGCCUAACACAUGCAAGUCGAACGAGCGAGAGAGAGCUUGCUUUCUCAAGCGAGUGGCGAACGGGUGAGUAACGCGUGAGGAACCUGCCUCAAAGAGGGGGACAACAGUUGGAAACGACUGCUAAUACCGCAUAAGCCCACGACCCGGCAUCGGGUUGAGGGAAAAGGAGCAAUCCGCUUUGAGAUGGCCUCGCGUCCGAUUAGCUGGUUGGUGAGGUAACGGCCCACCAAGGCGACGAUCGGUAGCCGGACUGAGAGGUUGAACGGCCACAUUGGGACUGAGACACGGCCCAA
rnacentral:rRNA from 1 species